GACGAACGCUGGCGGCGUGCUUAACACAUGCAAGUCGAACGGGUCUGCCCUGUUUUUUGCGGGGUGGGUCAGUGGCGAACGGGUGAGUAACACGGGAGUAACCUGCCCCUCACUUCUGGAUAACCUCUGGAAAGGGUGGCUAAUACGGGGUUGUCUUUCUGUGCCGCAUGGUUUGGCUGUGAAAGAUUCACUUUUUUUGUGUUUUGGUUGGGUACGGGCUCGCUUCCUAUCAGCUUGUUGGUGGGGUGAUGGCCUGCCAAGGCUUUGAAGGGUAGCCGGCCUGAGAGGGUGGGCCGUAACAGUGGGAAUGCGAGACCGACACGCCUACUGCGGGCGGCAGCAGUGGGGGGUACGGCAUGAUGGGAGGAAGGCUGAUGCAGCGACGUCGCGUGAGGGAUGGAGGUCGUCGGGUUGUGAACCUCUUUCGGCGGUGAAGAAGGUCCUGCUUUUUGGGGUGGGGUUGAAGGUAGCCGGGUCAUGAAGCGACGGCUAACUACGUG
rnacentral:rRNA from 1 species